rnacentral:rRNA from 1 species
ACGCGUAUGCAACUUACCUAUCAGAGGGGGAUAGCCCGGCGAAAGUCGGAUUAAUACCCCAUAAAACAGGGUCCCGCAUGGGAAUAUUUGUUAAAGAUUCAUCGCUGAUAGAUAGGCAUGCGUUCCAUUAGGCAGUUGGCGGGGUAACGGCCCACCAAACCGACGAUGGAUAGGGGUUCUGAGAGGAAGGUCCCCCACAUUGGUACUGAGACACGGACCAAACUCCUACGGGAGGCAGCAGUGAGGAAUAUUGGUCAAUGGCCGAGAGGCUGAACCAGCCAAGUCGCGUGAAGGAAGAAGGAUCUAUGGUUUGUAAACUUCUUUUAUAGGGGAAUAAAGUGGAGGACGUGUCCUUUUUUGUAUGUACCCUAUGAAUAAGCAUCGGCUAACUCCGUGCCAGCAGCCGCGGUAAUACGGAGGAUGCGAGCGUUAUCCGGAUUUAUUGGGUUUAAAGGGUGCGUAGGUGGUGAUUUAAGUCAGCGGUGAAAGUUUGUGGCUCAACCAUAAAAUUGCCGUUGAAACUGGGUUACGUGAGUGUGUUUGAGGUAGGCGGAAUGCGUGGUGUAGCGGUGAAAUGCAUAGAUAUCACGCAGAACUCCGAUUGCG